CUGCACUCCAGCCUGGGUGACAGAGUGAGACUCUGUCUCAAAAAAAAAAAAAAAAAAAAGAAAAAAAGAAAAAAGACUGUUCCUUUCUUCUGGAUAUAGGCAGGGCACCUCUUGAAUAAAAGUCUUAUGACCUGCUUCAGGGCAGAAGGGCAGGGAAAGGUCAGAGAGACCUUCCAGUAAAUGCUGUUUCUCAAAUUCCUUCAGCUUGAAAUACUCAGUGUGCCAAGGUGCUGUAUUUUGGGGAUACCAUGUCCUGAACCACAUCAGGGCUACUAAGAAAUGAAUGUCUGUGCUAUGUCUUGAAGCAUCUCUGCCUGGAUAGAGCACAGUGACCCCAAGAGCUCCAUUCAGAUUCCCUUUGCUCCAUGAAGCAUUCCUGCUGUUCCCUGGACAGCUGUAAUUAAUAUGGCCCCAGAUAACACAGUUUGUGAUUUGUCAUUAUACAUCACACUCUGCCUUAUAUUUUGAGGUAAUGUUUGUAAAGUGCUUAGAGUAGUGUAGGAACAUAGUGCACACUCAAAUGAUGAUGAUGGCCAUUAUUAUUGCUGUUGUUUAUGUAUAUAUAUGUGUCAUUUCUACUCAACUGUAAGCCUUGUUGGGGUGAGGGGAGGACCUUAUUUACUGAUGGAUUCCCAAGCAAGCCUGGUUUAUGCUGCACUCACAACAGGUUCUUACAUAUAACAUUAAUGAGGAACGGAGUGGCCAACGGCCUGCAGAGCAACAUGCCCAAGUUUUAUUGUGACUACUGUGAUACAUACCUCACCCAUGACUCUCCAUCUGUGAGAAAGACACAUUGCAGUGGAAGGAAACACAAAGAGAAUAUGAAGGACUAUUAUCAGAAAUGGAUGGAAGAGCAGGCUCAGAGCCUGAUUGAUAAAACAACGGCUGCAUUUCAACAAGGAAAGAUACCUCCUACUCCAUUCUCUGCUCCUCCUCCUGCAGGGGCGAUGAUACCACCUCCCCCCAGCCUUCUGGGUCCUCCUCGCCCUGGUAUGAUGCCAGCACCCCAUAUGGGGGGUCCUCCCAUGAUGCCAAUGAUGGGCCCUCCUCCUCAUGGGUUGAAGCCAGUGGGACCUGCUCCUGGAAUGAGGCCGCCCAUGGGAGGCCACAUGCCUGGGCCCCCAAUGAUGAGACCUCCUGCCCGUCCCAUGAUGGUGCCCACUUGGCCCGGAAUGACUCAACCAGACAGAUAAGGAUAGAGGGGAGGCUUCAUUGUAUCAGUUUUAUAUUACCUGUUCUGCUUCAUCAGGAGAUCAUGCUGCUGUGAUACUGAGUUUUCUAAACAGCAUAAGGAAGACUUGCUCCCCUGUCCUAUCAAAGAGAAUAGUUUUGGAGGGGAGAAGUGGGACAAAAAAGAUGCAGUUUUCAUUUGUAUUGGGAAAUGUGAAAAUAAAAUUGUCAACUCUUUCA